CACACACACACACACACACACACACACACACACACACACACCCUGCCAGCACGGAGCAGGCUGUCUGCGGAGGGCAGAGCUGCCCCUCGGCUCCAAGGCCAGUAUGCAUCUAGCCUGGCCCGGGAGGAACUGUGUCCUUUUUUAUCUUUGUCUCUCAAAGUGGUGGCAGCUGCACAGAACCCAGGUGAACGGCACACUCUGCGUGAAACGGGAAACAGGAGGUGCUGCAGGGCGAGGCUCUGAUGCCUCCAGGGAGAUGCUGGACACCCGUUUCACCUGGAGACAGGCCCUGCCUUCCCAGGGCUGCCCAAGGCCUUGCGCCCUCAGUCUGCGUCAGCCCAGGCUGCCGAGUACCGACUGCCACAAGCGUGGGCCAUCUUGCAGUCCUAAAGCUGGAUGUCUGGGAUCCAGGGGUGAGUUCCUUUGCAUUCGAGCACCUGCUGUCCCUGCGCUUUGAGCUCACUUCCGAGGGGCGGGUUUGAACUUCUUCUCAGAGCCAGUCCACAGGCCCGUGCCUGGGACUCCUGCUCAGGUGGAAGGGGCCCAGGUAGGAGGCUGGUCGCCGGCAGAGGUGGGUCCACUCCGACUCCGACCUCUCGGACGCCCAAGGCCCUGGACCAGCGGCAUGAAGAGCCUGCCUGUCCCCCACUGAACGGCCAAAGGGAUGCCCUUACCCGCCGACUUGGCUGCCCAGCAGCCGCAGCUCUGGGGGGUCUCCGCCAAACCCACUCAAGGCUUGUCCAGCUCGUCUGCUUGGUCGAAGCUGCCCAUCCAGGUGUGCGGGUGAGCGCGAUCGGUGAGAAAGUCUGUAAUAUGGAAAUGCGCGUUCCACUGAGGCCUCUACAAAGUGCUGCAGUCCAGGUGCCUGUCGCAGCUCAGCAGCCACCAGCGGCCCCCAUGCCCUGGGCCACUGCUGUGCACACAGCUCCAUCCCAGCCCAGUGAGGCGGACUCACCUGAGACUCACCUGAGACACAGCAGGCCGGCCCACAGAGUGUCGGGACCACUGCUGAUCGGGGGACAGCAGCCCCCACAGCGGCUCGGUCAGGACGGAAAAACAAUAGCAACAGCAAAAGGCAGCCCAUGCGUGUGCCAAGGACAGUGGCAGUCACCACAGCCCACGGCUUCGCUCGGGGCGGGGGGCUGUCAGCGGCUUCUGCCUUCACGCUGCUUCCCUUCACUUUCUGCCCUUUCCUGCAUGUGCUGUUUAUGGAAUAAAAAGGUACCGUUUCUCUUAAACCAAGCCCUCCUGCCAUACCCACUGUCCCCCACACACACACACGUACAUGCACACACGUACACGCAUGCACACACGUACCCGCAUGCACACGUACACACGUACGCACACACGUACAUGCGCACACACAUACACGCGCACACACAAACAUUAAAUGAAAGCAUUUUAAGUGUCAGCCUUUAG
rnacentral:lncRNA from 1 species